rnacentral:rRNA from 1 species
GAGUUUGAUCCUGGCUCAGAUUGAACGCUGGCGGUAUGCUUAACACAUGCAAGUCGAACGGCAGCACGAAGAAGCUUGCUUCUUUGGUGGCGAGUGGCGGACGGGUGAGUAAUGCGUAGGAAUCUACCUUGAAGUGGGGGAUAACUCGGGGAAACUCGGGCUAAUACCGCAUAAUCUCUACGGAGCAAAGCUGGGGACCCUCGGGCCUGGCGCUUUAAGAUGAGCCUACGUCGGAUUAGCUAGUUGGUGGGGUAAAGGCCUACCAAGGCGACGAUCCGUAGCUGGUUUGAGAGGAUGACCAGCCACACUGGGACUGAGACACGGCCCAGACUCCUACGGGAGGCAGCAGUGGGGAAUAUUGGACAAUGGGCGAAAGCCUGAUCCA